UAAGUUUUUUUUAAAAAAUAAAAUUGGAAUACACGUUCUCGCAAAUCCCGCACCUCCACUCUCCCAGUCUCCCUCAUCUGCAGGUUGGUUCCUUAACGUGAGAAACCCCUAAAUCUCCAUUUCUUUUUCCAAACAAGUCUUGUAUCGAACAUGAAUCACAUCUAAAACCAGCAGCAAAACACAUAGAUUCAGAGGGGAAAGGGGAGGCGAACAGCAGCGAUGAACGUGGCGGCGCGUGAGAGGAAAAGUAGUGGUGGAUCGGAACCUCGCGAGGGAGAACGGUGGGUCGUGGCGGCGCGAGAGGACGCGGCGCAACAGAUCCAACGACGUGCGUGGCGGUGGCUAGAAGAGGAGCGUGGUGGAGGCGAUUUAGAAGGAAGGAAGGAGGAAGGGAGGUGGUGGUGAUCACGAAGGAGAAGGAGGUGGUGAUGGUGGUGCAGCCAUGGGAGAGAAAGGGAGUGGCCACUGGUUCCUCCUCCUCCAACGACCCCAACCCUAACGCAGCAGCAGAGGAGUUAAGACCAGCUUGCUGGAAAAGGAACCGGAAGCUCCUCACCGAAGCCACAAUGUCUACUACCUCACGCAGGCUUCUCCCAAUCCAAUUCUACUACCUAUUUGCACUGCAAUAUAUCCCCCCCUGAGAAAGACACUUUCCAGUUCUGCAGCAAGCAGCUCCAACAGAUUUUUUGGAUCCAAGACAGCGCCCCCAAUAAUAAAGGGUGUUUCUAUUUACCCAUCUUUCAUUGAGCUUUUUAUGUCUUACCUUAAUUGAGAUCCCAUGAUCAGCAAUCUAAUGUGGAUGCCCUUUCGAGUUAGCAACAAGCAACUUUCGGCGAAAUGUAGACAGAAUGGAGUAUAAUGAUAUAGAAGUUUCAUUUUCUUCCUCAGCACCUUAUGCUUCAGAGUCAAAAAUUCUGGAUUGAGAUUUUAGUUGCAUAAAGGUUAGAAAAAUUUGUAGAGCCCUUUUUUUCCCUUCCUUUUUCAAUGCUUAAUGUUAUCUUGAAUUCUAUCUUGCAAUUACUGUAUUUUAUUUUAGACUUUAUCCCAAGGCUAAGGCAACAAUUCAGAGUUGGUGUUUUGAGAAACGAAAAUUUCAUAGUGGAAUAUAUAGUAUGUAGGUUUUAGCAAGCACAUAAAAUCUAAGAUUGUGUCAACUUUGAGCAAUUACUUAUGUUCUUUUUCAAUAGAUAAUUCCUAUGUUAGCUAGAAUGUUGCAAUUUUCAUUGCUUUAUUUUAAUGGUAACAGGGGGGCACAUUGGGAAGUCUUGUUGGGGUGUUUUUCUUUGUAUUGUAUUGGUGAAGCAAGUAAAUUUGUGGUGGUAGUGAUUCUAGUUGAAGGAAAUAGAACUUCCUGGGCUCUUGAGUCCCAAGAAUAUGUCUUCAGAC